GUAUCAUGGCUCAGGAUGAACGCUGGCGGCGUGCCUAACACAUGCAAGUCGAACGGACUUACAUUUGAAGUCCUAGCGAUAAUGUAAGUUAGUGGCGGACGGGUGAGUAACGCGUGGGUAACCGUGCCUUGUACUGGGGGACAACGAGUUGGAAACGACUGCUAAUACCGCAUAAGCGCACAGCUUCGCAUGAAGCAGUGUGAAAAACUCCGGUGGUACAAGAUGGACCCGCGUCUGACUUAG
rnacentral:rRNA from 1 species